rnacentral:rRNA from 1 species
GAAUGCUGACAUAAGUAACGAUAAAGCGGGUGAAAAGCCCGCUCGCCGGAAGACCAAGGGUUCCUGUCCAACGUUAAUCGGGGCAGGGUGAGUCGACCCCUAAGGCGAGGCCGAAAGGCGUAGUCGAUGGGAAACAGGUUAAUAUUCCUGUACUUGGUGUUACUGCGAAGGGGGGACGGAGAAGGCUAUGUUAGCCGGGCGACGGUUGUCCCGGUUUAAGCAUGUAGGCUGGUUGUCCAGGCAAAUCCGGAUAAUCAAGGCUGAGGUGUGAUGACGAGGCACUACGGUGCUGAAGUAACAAAUGCCCUGCUUCCAGGAAAAGCCUCUAAGCAUCAGGUAACAUCAAAUCGUACCCCAAACCGACACAGGUGGUCAGGUAGAGAAUACCAAGGCGCUUGAGAGAACUCGGGUGAAGGAACUAGGCAAAAUGGUGCCGUAACUUCGGGAGAAGGCACGCUGGUGUGUAGGUGAAGUCCCUGCGG